UCUCACUUCAGGGUAUUUCCCCUUUUCUCUCCCUCUCUCCCGUGCCUCCGCGCUGCACACCGCUGCUGCUCCCCAACCACGGCGCUAUGAUGGUGCUUGCUCGCCUGGUCGCCGCCUCGUCUCGCCCAAUCUUGAUAUAGUCCGGGGCGGCGCCGGCACCGCUCGACCGCGUCGUUGCCUCCUCUGCGUCAUGAGAAGCGCCACCAUUGCCUCCACCCCCACUGGGCAAGGAGCUCGAGGUGUUUGGGGGUUCGUGUUUCCUACACAGGCCAAAACACUAUUGGAGCCUUGGAGUUCGAAACCAGUCGUUUGGAGCAGAUCAGCUCAAAAGAGAUCCUUUGUACCAUUUGCAGACUACCCAUCUCCCUCUGGAGAUUGACAGGCCUGGAGUCUCGCUCACCUCUGUUUUCCCCCUGUGGACACACACGAGACUCAGAUCUUGGCUCGUCGUAGAGGAAUCGAUAGCAAGAAUCAACCAGAGAAAGGAUGCACACAAGAGCUUGAGGCAGAGAUGGCGGAGCGGUCGAGCUCGAGACUAUGGAUCCAGGGCUUGAGUGCUCACGGGAUGGAGGUGCUCAGGAUGGAGGCAGGGGAGGGCGCCCUGCGGGAAGUGAUUUAUGUGCUCCUUGAUCAGGUUUUUUAUAACUGAUGACAUCUUACAUUGUUGUCUUUUACCGAUUAACUGGUUAACUCUUUUCCUAAAUGUUCUUAGAUUUCUGCUUUCUAUUUGCGCCAGUUUCUUUUUACAAGAGAUGAGAUCUUACACAAUAUAUUUUUGCCUUGGUUGAUCUAAUUAAAAUUUUCCUUCAGCAUGUGCAUAUGAUGUUAAUAUAAAGCUAUUUGGAAGUACAUAUCCAUGGGCGAAAAAAAUAUUAUCAUGUAUUUUGUCUGUCAUUUUGCUUGUGUUGAUGUAGUUUAUUGAGCUUUUUCACACGUCAUGAUAUUAUGCCUUAAUUUCUACUAGGCUGCUUUUACCUUUAAAAUUCAUUGUACAAACAUUAUUUACCUAAUUUAUGGAAACAAUAAAUUUGUAGCUCAGGUCAACUAGGAGAUGAUGUAAACCAAGUCGCUCACCGGUUUAAGAUGGGGUUUAAAGAUUUACUUUGUUCCAGCGCCUACUUUGGAUCAUAGGAAACUAAAAAAAAAGAGGGCGCCGCCACCACCGUCAUCAGGCUGGCCCACAUCCACGCGCUGCUCGGCUUCAGUAGGUCACCGGUACAACUCCUCACGCCCAGGUCGUUCAACAUUUUCUUCCGCUUUUGGUGCGUCACAUUUAGAGUCUUUCUUUCCCAUUUUACCAUGUUUGCUUGGUAAGAUGU